CUCCGAGCAGGAGGGGCUGCCCUGACCUGCUCCAGUCCUGGGACAGGAUACUGGGUUUGCUCAUGGAAGGGAAGAAAUCCCCCUGAGCAGAUCCCAAAUGCCCUGAGCAGAUCCCAAAUCCCCCUGAGCAGAUCCCAAAUCCCCCUAAACAGAUCCCAAAUCCCCCUAAACAGAUCCCAAAUCCCCCUGAGCAGAUCCCAAAUCCCUUGAGCAGAUCCCAAAUCCCCCUGAGCAGAUCCCAAAUCCCCUGAGCAGAUCCCGAAUCCCCUGAGCAGAUCCCAAAUGCCCUGAACAGAUCCCAAAUGCCCUGAACAGAUCCCAAAUCCCCUGAACAGAUCCCAAAUGCCCUGAACAGAUCCCAAAUCCCCCUGAGCAGAUCCCAAAUCCCCCUGAGCAGAUCCCAAAUCCCCCUAAACAGAUCCCAAAUCCCCCUAAACAGAUCCCAAAUCCCCCUAAAC
rnacentral:lncRNA from 1 species